CCUACGGGCGGCAGCAGUGGGGAAUAUUGGACAAUGGGGGGAACCCUGAUCCAGCCAUGCCGCGUGUGUGAAGAAGGCCCUCGGGUUGUAAAGCACUUUCAGUGAGGAAGAACGCCUGGUGGUUAAUACCCAUCAGGAAAGACAUCACUCACAGAAGAAGCACCGGCUAACUCCGUGCCAGCAGCCGCGGUAAUACGGAGGGUGCGAGCGUUAAUCGGAAUUACUGGGCGUAAAGCGCGCGUAGGUGGCUUGAUAAGCCGGUUGUGAAAGCCCCGGGCUCAACCUGGGAACGGCAUCCGGAACUGUCAAGCUAGAGUGCAGGAGAGGAAGGUAGAAUUCCCGGUGUAGCGGUGAAAUGCGUAGAGAUCGGGAGGAAUACCAGUGGCGAAGGCGGCCUUCUGGACUGACACUGCCACUGAGGUGCGAAAGCGUGGGUAGCAAACAGGAUUAGAUACCCGAGUAGUC
rnacentral:rRNA from 1 species